GCUGGGCGUUGUGGCAGGCACCUGUAGUCCCAGCUACUUGGAAGGUUAAGGCAAGAGAAUCCUUAAGCCUAAGAGUUGGAGGUUGCCCUGAGCUAUGAUGUCACAGCACUCUACCCAGGGAAACAGCUUGAGACAGUCUCAAAAAAAAAAAAAAUCCUCCCAGGAGCAGGGUUACCACCAGGUUGCCUAAGGAGGGGUGAACUGGUCCGGGUCAGAAAUAGAGGAGGUCAAAACUCCCAUGCUGAUCAGUAGUGGAAUUGUGCCUGUGAAUAGCCACUGCACUCCAGCCUGGGCAACAUAGUGAGAUCCCGUCUCUA
rnacentral:SRP_RNA from 1 species